UACGUAGGGUGCAAGCGUUGUCCGGAAUUAUUGGGCGUAAAGAGCUCGUAGGCGGUUUGUUGCGUCGGCUGUGAAAUCCCGAGGCUCAACCUCGGGUCUGCAGUCGAUACGAGCAAACUAGAGUGUUGCAGGGGAGACUGGAAUUCCUGGUGUAGCGGUGAAAUGCGCAGAUAUCAGGAGGAACACCAACGGCGAAGGCAGCUCGCUGGGACGGUACUGACACUGAGGCGCGAAAGCGUGGGGAGCGAACAGG
rnacentral:rRNA from 1 species